CCGUUGAUGCUGAAAAAGCAACAGCCAACGAUGGAUACAACAAACUGUAACUCUCAACAUUCAGCAAGUGUCAUGGGCUUUGGAAUAAGUGUGGACAAUCCUGCCAAGCAGCUGAAGCUGUUUAAGAUGCCUGCUCCCUCCAGCUGCUACGACUAAAUGCCACCAGGUGGAACUUGCUGUUUAUGGCUGUGGAGAGGCUACUCAAGAUUCUGAGAGAGAAAGGAGAGCCAGCUUUGAGAGAGAUCUGUGUAGAAUUGAAGGUUCCAGGAAUCCAUCCUGUUGAGCUCACUUUCAUCGAAGAGUACUACACCACUAUGAGCCCUGUCGCCCAAUCUAUCAGCAUCCUCCAAGGAGAAGCGGAAGUCCAGAUGGGAUGGCUUCUUCCAUCUUCUUCGCCAUUUUGGCAAGGUGUAAAGAGACCCUGAAUUGAUUGCUGCAGCGAUUCUCAUCCCAAAGUUCAGAACGGCCUGGAUCAAAGAUGAUGCUACACUGAGAAUCGGGUUGGACUACAACAGGGAGCAGUUAGAGGAUCCUUCCAUUUCAGCAGAUGCUGGAUGUUGGAUCUGGCUCAUCUGAUUGCAUUUCCAUGGAGUAAUAAUCAUACAUUUUCAUCCUCGAGCUGCAGAACUCUACUGCACUCAGUAAUCGAAUCGCAGGGCUUUCCCAUAACGGGAAGCUGCAGCAGGAGAGUGGUGAGUUGUGUUCACUUUUCAAUAGCAAUCCACCUAAGCUAGCGUAGGUGUGAUGCCUCGAACUAUGUGCUGAGACCCUAUUUGUAUUGUUGCUGAAGUUUGGUGCUGUUCUGAGCAUUAUUUGUGGCUUUUUGAUGGCAGUUUCUUG